CUAAAUGAUCCGUUUAUUCAAAGAAAGUAUGCUGAAUGAUAAGGUGAUUGAGCAAUGUCAAAUUGCGAUGAAUCAGUGCAUAUAUAAAAAAUAUAAAUAUGGCGUACCAUAUUCCCGUUCAUAUUCCAUGAGAUAGAGCGUGUGUAUUGGAACCGAAAGAUGGUGAACUAUACCUGAGUAGGAUGAAGCCAGAGGAAACUCUGGUGGAAGUCCGAAGCGAUUCUGACGGAGUAUUUUAUGUCUCGUCUGACUUUGGUAGGGGCGAAAGACUAAUCGAACUUUUUAGUUGUUGGCUCCUUCUGAAGUUCUCUUCAGUAUAACUGUGGUACACAAUGAAGCUGUGAUUUCGGUGAAACGAGUGAUUGGAGGAAUUGCGGGACGAAAUGUCUUCAACCUAUUCUCAAGUUUCAAUCAGAUGACGUUUUGCUUACUUGAAUAACACAUAGACAUUGAAUGUGUGCCACAAGGGGUUAUUUUUGAUAAGCAGAACUGGCGCUAUGAACAAAACGUUGAGUUAAAGUGUAAUCUUUCUUCUUUUUUUUUUCUCAAAGUUCUCAUGAAAGAAAUCUUUCAAUGGAAAUAUUUCUUUCACAAAAAAAUCUGAGAAAUUUGGAGAAAUCGAACAAUGUACUAAAAUAAAGCAAAUCGAUCAGUA
rnacentral:ncRNA from 1 species